UGGGGAAUAUUGCGCAAUGGGCGAAAGCCUGACGCAGCGACGCCGCGUGAGGGAAGAAGGUCUUCGGAUCGUAAACCUCUGUCAGGAGGGAAGAACCGCAUGGGAAGGAAAUGUCCUGUGCCUGACGGUACCUCCAGAGGAAGCACCGGCUAACUCCGUGCCAGCAGCCGCGGUAACACGGGGGGUGCCAGCGUUAAUCGGAAUGACUGGGCGUACAGCGCGCGUAGGCGGCUGGAUAAGUCGGGUGUGAAAGCCCUCGGCUCAACCGGGGAACGGCACGCGAAACUGUCUGGCUGGAGUCCGAGAGAGGGUGGCGGAAUGCCGGGUGUAGGGGUGAAAUCCGUAGAUAUCCGGAGGAACACCGGUGGCGAAGGCGGCUGCCUGGAUCGGCACUGACGCUGAUGCGCGAAAGCGUGGGGAGCAAACA
rnacentral:rRNA from 1 species